GUUGGGCCUGCUCGGUGAGAAGAAAAAUUUAACAGCUGCGGUAUUAUAACUGUACUAAGGUAGCAUAAUAAUUUGCCUUAUAAAUUAAGGCUAGAAUGAAUGGUUUGACGAAAAUUAGACUGUCUUUAUUUUAUUUGUUAGAAAUUAAUUUUUAUAGUGAAAAAGCUUGAAUAAUUUAAGGGGACGAGAAGACCCUAUUGAGCUUUAUUUAUUAAUAUUUAAAUAUAAAUAUAUAAUUUAUAUUAUGAAAAUUAUGUUGUAUAUAUAUAUUUAAUUGGAUUUAAUUUUGAUUGGGGUGAUCAAGGAAUAAAGAUAAAGUAACUUCCUUAAAAUUAAUGAUUGUUUUUAUAGAGUAAUAAACCAAGUUUUUUGCUUAUAAGAUAAGUUACCAUAGGGGUAACAGCGUAAUUUUUUUUGAGAGUUCAUAUUGAAAAAAGAGAUUGCGACCUCGAUGUUGGAUUAAAAAUUACCUUAAGG
rnacentral:rRNA from 1 species